CCCUUUCUUCCUCAGCCGUAGCAGCCCCAAACCGACACACACACACAUCCACACACGCAUGGAUAGGAGAAGAGAACCCUCUCUUUCUCUCUCUAGAUUUCUCCCAAAAAAAGAGAGAAAUUGGUGGAGAAGUAAGCUUAAAGAUGGAUUUUCAUCUUCAUCAUCAACUUCCUCUCCAUUGGAGCUAUUUUGAGAGGUAAACGAAUGCGCUGGCGAAGUCGGUUCGGCGAUUCGUCGAGCCGUUGCGAAGUUAUUAAAGAAACGGACGUUAGGCUUCGUUUCCGCCUGGAGGGCCGAGGCGACGUCGUAAAAUCCUGGAAACGGAUUUGAAGCACCGUAACAGCAAAACGAAGACCCUUUUUGCCCGAGGUUGCAAAGCGAUGCGCGGUUGGUGCGCAACUACAAGUUCGGACGGAACCUGGCACCGGGUGCCGCGGGAGGCCGAUUGCAAGUGUCGACAAGCAAUCGGAACGCGAAUCGAGGUGGGUUGUGCUUACCGAAGCGACUAGGUCGCCUUUAUGUCUAAGAAAAUAUGAUUUCUUAUGAUGCAUAUAGAAAGCAUGUUAUGGUAAUGCUAGUAAUUGCAUGAUUACAUGAUGAGCAUUAUGGCAUAAUGGAUAUAUGCAUAUUAGCAUGUGAGGAAAGUGUGAGAUGAAUACAUGAUGAGCAUAAUGUAGAAAUGCAUGUUAACAUUAUGAAAUGCUGGAUGAGAGAUUCAUAUAGAAAUGAAUGAUAAUGAAUGCAAGCUGAUAAA